CGAAGUUAGAGAGAGCUUGCUUUUUCUAACUUAGUGGCGAACGGGUGAGUAACGCGUGAGGAACCUGCCUCAAAGAGGGGGACAACAGUUGGAAACGACUGCUAAUACCGCAUAAGCCCACAGCUCCGCAUGGAGCAGGGGGAAAAGGAGCAAUCCGCUUUGAGAUGGCCUCGCGUCCGAUUAGCUAGUUGGUGAGGUAACGGCCCACCAAGGCGACGAUCGGUAGCCGGACUGAGAGGUUGAUCGGCCACAUUGGGACUGAGACACGGCCCAGACUCCUACGGGAGGCAGCAGUGGGGAAUAUUGCACAAUGGGGGAAACCCUGAUGCAGCGACGCCGCGUGGAGGAAGAAGGUCUUCGGAUUGUAAACUCCUGUUGUUGGGGAAGAUAAUGACGGUACCCAACAAGGAAGUGACGGCUAACUACGUGCCAGCAGCCGCGGUAAAACGUAGGUCACAAGCGUUGUCCGG
rnacentral:rRNA from 1 species